AAGGCUUACAUACGGCUGGUGCCCGUCCUUCCACACGCUGGACCCACCUCUACGGAACGGACAGUUCCUAACGCGAGCCAGCGUCAAUGAAACACUGAAAGUGAUGAAUCACCCAAUUAAGGGCAAAGCAGGAAACAUAGAGGGCACCCCUGACAGAGGAGACACUCAUGGUCUGUGACUACAGAACAUACAAAGGCUUUUCCUGGAGCUGAACAGAGAUGUACAUGAAAAACCUCCUCAUGGGUCUAAAAGCAUUUGUAGUUGUGAUUCGAUCCUGCUAUCACGAAAUGUCCUCCAAGCCUCUUCAUCCUUCUUUACUCCUAAAAUAUGUAUGGAAUAAUUCUAA